rnacentral:rRNA from 1 species
AGUCCUACGGGGGGCAGCAGUGGGGAAUAUUGCACAAUGGGGGAAACCCUGAUGCAGCGACGCCGCGUGAGGGAAGACGGUCCUACGGAUUGUAAACCUCUUUUGCCGGGGAGCAACGGGGUCCUUGCGAGGGCCCGAUGAGAGUACCCGGAGAAAAAGCAUCGGCUAACUCCGUGCCAGCAGCCGCGGUAAUACGGAGGAUGCGAGCGUUAUCCGGAUUUAUUGGGUUUAAAGGGUGCGUAGGCGGGCUGUUAAGUCAGCGGUCAAAUGUCGGGGCUCAACCCCGGCCUGCCGUUGAAACUGGC